AAAAAAAAAAAUCUUCCUACCUAUAUCCAGAUGAUGGCUUUAGCUCAGGUAAUUCCUCAAAUGACACUAUUAUUGUUACUGACUCCGUUUCCCAUCUCGCCGUGGAAGAGUUGACACAGCCAGGAAGUGGAAAUCUCUCAUGAGAGGCACUUCCCCACAACGCUCAUCUCGACGAUUCUCCAUGGUGUGCAAAUGCUGAGGUGGGGAGAGGGCCUCUAAUGAAGGGUCUCUAACAACACAGUGUAACCUGCCUGGUGAAAUUAGGGGUACAUAGAAACUCACCACCUUCUAGGGGUUGGAGAGGGAAAAGAGGUUGGUGACGGGACCCCACCACCCAUUCUGCUACCCUUAGCAAUGGACAGAGUCAAAGCUUGGAGUCCUGCUCUGGGCAAAUGUGGCUGGAAUUCAGGGAGUAUAGUUAGUUGUCAGUCCAGUCAGGAGACUUGGCUUGUUUUCCAGUCAUUUCCGGGAGAAGAGUUUAAGCGGCUAGCUGGUCAGUUUUUAACUUAGCUGUAACGAAAUAAGGCCCAGAGAAGUUUAAUCAUUAGACCAUAGAGUCAGCUGCUUUACGAGUUCGUAAGCCUGCACGAGUCUGAGGCAGGCGGGAGCCUUGGGGUCUAGUUGCAGUAUUUCCAGAAGGAAUUAUUAGCUGAAGUGCGGAAGAAGUGGACCUCAGCUGGAGGCCAAGGUUUCAGAGCUGGAUGCACUUGGGUUGCUGAGUACUGAGAGAGUGAUACAAGACAGAGAGACAGCUGCAAGUCACUGGGAUGGUGAUGGAUGCCUGGCACACAGUAGGUGGAUAUUUGUUAAAGCAAUGAAGAACGACAUGUGAAUGGAAAAUGAUGUGGCAAUACAGAAUUGUGACUAUCCUACUCAAUGUGAUGACGAUGAAGACCUUAAUGAUGAUCUAUUUCCUCUCAAUGAAUAAUAGUGCACAACACGGGCCAAUGAACACAGAAUUCUGGUGGACCUACUAUGCCUGGGAUUUCAGUGAGACUCAAAGUGAGUGCAAGUCACCAUCAUAAAGAUUCAAUAUUCAAGACCACGAAGAAGAACCCAGACCAGGGAUUGCUUCAUUUGGAUUCCACCUACCGCAGUUGUUACAUCUAAGUAGGGACAACGAAAAUCUCCUGCUAUGGUCUUGAUCCUAGUCAGUAAAAGAGCAAAUUCCAAGCCUCCUAAGGGGCAUUUUCAUCCUUCCCCAUCUGUCCUUACAGAUAAGGAAGAGAUUCCAGGAAUGACUCGGUUCCUGGAACCUAGAAUUAGUCCCCCUUGUUUUCUUUAUCUAUCCAAAUCCUGUCUUAGGGAUCAACUUUCACAAGCUUUCUCUCCUUAAAGACUUUCACCUCGAAUUACCUUUUUUUUUUGUCAUAUUCCUAUUCCUAUCUGGAGUCACACUCUUGAGAACCUUCUAUACUUUCGUCAUGCAUUUAUUAGCAGAUAUCUAUAAAGUUCCUACAGUGUGUCAGGCACUGUGCUAGGCGCUAGUGCAACAAUGAUGAAUGCUAUACACAUCCACCUCACCCUUUUAUAGUUUAUAGUAUCAUGGGGAGAUGGAGAAGUAGAUGCUCAAUAAACACAUUUUGUCUGAUGGGUAUACCUUGAAACAGCAAAAGUAAAGUCUGUUUCAUCAUAAUUUGAUCCGUUCACAUUUAUGGGCCAGAUCCUGUGGUAGACCUGGGAUACAAAGAUGAACUAAACAGAGACUCUGCUCUCAAGAGUUUAUAUAAUCUGCAUUUGCAGGUUAUAAUAAACUCUGAUCUGCAUCUUUGGGCAAAAGCAUUCUUUUCUAGGUAUCUUAACCACGAUCUCAAGUAUGUGCUCUGUGUGUUUACUGACAUAUCAUCAAACACAGUCUGUAGGGAAAGUAAAUGAAAUACGAACCAAAGGCGCCAGUCCUUGGAGUGUUGUGGCUUCCUCUGCCUCGUAGAGAUAGAAAUUCAAAGGAGCAAAGAAGUAGCCAGGGGCUGGUUCAGAGCAGCUACGGCCAGUGACAUGUGGGCGGCAUUCACACUGCCCAUUCUUGGGUGAGCACCUGAGGAAAAAGCAAUUCAUCAUGAAAAAAUGCAAAGUAGGUGAGCGGAAAAUGAAGGUGUAGGGGUGCUGGGCUAAUGCUCCCUGAGUUUGGAGCAAUCCUUAGAAUCAGUCAAUCAAUGGUCCUGUGGGAAGAUGCAGAAAGGCCAUGGGUUUAACAUAACUGGUCUUGAAUAGUGAAUCCAGGGCCAUGGAGCCCAGGCGGCCACUUUCCCCACCCUCCGCCCCCAACCCCCCACUGCCAGGUUCUGCUCUAAAAUCUGGCAAAAAGGGGGCUUUAGGAUCUCUCUUUACAACAUGGCAAAAAGCUGGUGUUUUAGGCAGGUCACACGUAUUCAAGCACCCAUGCCACCAGCUUGUGGUGGGAUACCCAGCAGAAGGAUUGUUUACCUCACCCUUGGAAAUAUUUGAAGUGAAAGAAAUCAAUGGGCUGUAGUUAAUGUCUCAAGAUCAUUGCUUGUCAUGGAAUGAAAUUUUUCACCUAUGACUAUGAGCGUAUCAGAAUAAAAUGUGCUUUUAUGUUUAAAUAAGGAAUAUUGCUAUAAAACUUAUUUGACUUACACGUUAGAAUAAGCACCUCCAAUAUCACAGUCACAGGGAGAACACCCAUGGAGAUGAUUUCCCAGGCCCCAGUAUCCAACCUACAGAGAAAAAAUGCUCAGCUGAUUCCAGCUAUGAAGAUGCUGUUGCUCUGAAGUGCAACACUGAAAUCACUACAAUGCAAUUGCCACACGUCAAAUAGCCAAACAGCCUGCACCAUCUCAGAGAAACCUUCCUGGCCUAUGCGCUUGGCUAAUGAUCUUCCAUGGACACAUCUCCCAUCUCCAGGAUUUGA
rnacentral:lncRNA from 1 species